rnacentral:tRNA from 1 species
AGUUAGUAUAUAUAGUGCGCCUACCUUCCAAGUAGAAAGUCUCUCCAGAUGGAGACU